GCCUUCGUGGUGUAGUGGUAGUACGCUCGGCGCGUAUUCGAGAGGCCCGCGGUUCGAAUCCCGGCGAGUGCA
rnacentral:tRNA from 1 species